rnacentral:rRNA from 1 species
CCGUGUUUACUGUACCUUAGUUGCUUCGGCGGGCCCGCCAUUCGUGGCCGCCGGGGGCUCUCAGCCCCGGGCCCGCGCCCGCCGGAGACACCACGAACUCUGUCUGAUCUAGUGAAGUCUGAGUUGAUUGUAUCGCAAUCAGUUAAAACUUUCAACAAUGGAUCUCUUGGUUCCGGCAUCGAUGAAGAACGCAGCGAAAUGCGAUAACUAGUGUGAAUUGCAGAAUUCCGUGAAUCAUCGAGUCUUUGAACGCACAUUGCGCCCCCUGGUAUUCCGGGGGGCAUGCCUGUCCGAGCGUCAUUGCUGCCCAUCAAGCACGGCUUGUGUGUUGGGUCGUCGUCCCCUCUCCGGGGGGGACGGGCCCCAAAGGCAGCGGCGGCACCGCGUCCGAUCCUCGAGCGUAUGGGGCUUUGUCACCCGCUCUGUAGGCCCGGCCGGCGCUUGCCGAACGCAAAUCA